GACGAACGCUGGCGGCGUGCUUAACACAUGCAAGUCGAACGGAAAGGCCCUGCUUUUGUGGGGUGCUCGAGUGGCGAACGGGUGAGUAACACGUGAGUAACCUGCCCUUGACUUUGGGAUAACUUCAGGAAACUGGGGCUAAUACCGGAUAGGAGCUCCUGCUGCAUGGUGGGGGUUGGAAAGUUUCGGCGGUUGGGGAUGGACUCGCGGCUUAUCAGCUUGUUGGUGGGGUAGUGGCUUACCAAGGCUUUGACGGGUAGCCGGCCUGAGAGGGUGACCGGCCACAUUGGGACUGAGAUACGGCCCAGACUCCUACGGGAGGCAGCAGUGGGGAAUAUUGCACAAUGGGCGGAAGCCUGAUGCAGCAACGCCGCGUGCGGGAUGACGGCCUUCGGGUUGUAAACCGCUUUCGCCUGUGACGAAGCGUGAGUGACGGUAAUGGGUAAAGAAGCACCGGCUAACUACGUGCCAGCAGCCGCGGUGAUACGUAGGGUGCGAGCGUUGUCCGGAUUUAUUGGGCGUAAAGGGCUCGUAGGUGGUUGAUCGCGUCGGAAGUGUAAUCUUGGGGCUUAACCCUGAGCGUGCUUUCGAUACGGGUUGACUUGAGGAAGGUAGGGGAGAAUGGAAUUCCUGGCGGAGCGGUGGAAUGCGCAGAUAUCAGGGGGAACACCAGUGGCGAAGGCGGUUCUCUGGGCCUUUCCUGACGCUGAGGAGCGAAAGCGUGGGGAGCGAACAGGCUUAGAUACCCUGGUAGUCCACGCUGUAAACGGUGGGUACUAGGUGUGGGGUCCAUUCCACGGGUUCCGUGCCGUAGCUAACGCUUUAAGUACCCCGCCUGGGGAGUACGGCCGCAAGGCUAAAACUCAAAGGAAUUGACGGGGCCCCGCACAAGCGGCGGAGCAUGCGGAUUAAUUCGAUGCAACGCGUAGAACCUUACCUGGGUUUGACAUGGAUCGGGAGUGCUCAGAGAUGGGUGUGCCUCUUUUGGGGUCGGUUCACAGGUGGUGCAUGGCUGUCGUCAGCUCGUGUCGUGAGAUGUUGGGUUAAGUCCCGCAACGAGCGCAACCCUUGUUCACUGUUGCCAGCACGUUAUGGUGGGGACUCAGUGGAGACCGCCGGGGUCAACUCGGAGGAAGGUGGGGAUGACGUCAAGUCAUCAUGCCCCUUAUGUCCAGGGCUUCACGCAUGCUACAAUGGCUGGUACAGAGAGUGGCGAGCCUGUGAGGGUGAGCGAAUCUCGGAAAGCCGGUCUCAGUUCGGAUUGGGGUCUGCAACUCGACCUCAUGAAGUCGGAGUCGCUAGUAAUCGCAGAUCAGCAACGCUGCGGUGAAUACGUUCCCGGGGCU
rnacentral:rRNA from 1 species